rnacentral:rRNA from 1 species
AGCGAACGCUGGCGGCAGGCCUAACACAUGCAAGUCGAACGGACCCUUCGGGGUUAGUGGCGGACGGGUGAGUAACACGUGGGAACGUGCCUUUAGGUUCGGAAUAGCUCCUGGAAACGGGUGGUAAUGCCGAAUGUGCCCUUCGGGGGAAAGAUUUAUCGCCUUUAGAGCGGCCCGCGUCUGAUUAGCUAGUUGGUGAGGUAAUGGCUCACCAAGGCGACGAUCAGUAGCUGGUCUGAGAGGAUGACCAGCCACAUUGGGACUGAGACACGGCCCAAACUCCUACAGGAGGCAGCAGUGGGGAAUCUUGCGCAAUGGGCGAAAGCCUGACGCAGCCAUGCCGCGUGGAUGAUGAAGGUCUUAGGAUUGUAAAAUCCUUUCACCGGUGAAGAUAAUGACUGUAGCCGGAGAAGAAGCCCCGGCUAACUUCGUGCCAGCCGCCGCCGUAA